rnacentral:rRNA from 1 species
GAUGAACGCUGGCGGCGUGCUUAACACAUGCAAGUCGAACGAAGCAUUUGCGACAGAUUUUUUCGGAAUGAAGUUGCUUAUGACUGAGUGGCGGACGGGUGAGUAACGCGUGGGUAACCUGCCUUGUACUGGGGGAUAGCAGCUGGAAACGGCUGGUAAUACCGCAUAAGCGCACAAUGUUGCAUGACAUGGUGUGAAAAACUCCGGUGGUAUAAGAUGGACCCGCGUCUGAUUAGCUAGUUGGUGAGAUAACAGCCCACCAAGGCGACGAUCAGUAGCCGACCUGAGAGGGUGACCGGCCACAUUGGGACUGAGACACGGCCCAGACUCCUACGGGAGGCAGCAGUGGGGAAUAUUGCACAAUGGAGGAAACUCUGAUGCAGCGACGCCGCGUGAGUGAAGAAGUAAUUCGUUAUGUAAAGCUCUAUCAGCAGGGAAGAUAGUGACGGUACCUGACUAAGAAGCCCCGGCUAACUACGUG